UAGAAUGUAAAUUAGUAAGCUAAGUGAUUAAUAGUUAAGUUCUUUAAAGCUAAAUAAUUUGGCGGUAUUUUAAACUUUUCAGAGGAACCUGUCCUAUAAUUGAUAAUCCACGAUUUAAUAAACUUUAAUUAGAAAUUUUUAUAUCGUCGUUUUUAAAUAUUUUAAAAGAAUUCAAUAUUUACAAUUUUUUAUUAGAAACCAAAUCAGAUCAAGGUGAAGUUUAUAUUAGAGUAGAGAUGGGUUACAUUAAAUUUUACUUAUGGCUUAAAAAUUUUAAUUUUUUUAUAAAAUUGGAUUUGAAAGUAAUUAGAUUUAUUUUUUUUUAAUGAGUUAGCACUAAAAUAUGU
rnacentral:rRNA from 1 species